rnacentral:RNase_P_RNA from 1 species
UGGGAAGGGCGGAGGAUCGCUUCCAAUUUAUUGGGAGAGGAAAGUCCGAACACCGCAGGACACGAUGCCGCGUAACCCCGGUUCCGCCGGGGAUACAUUCGGGCAGCUCACUCGCGAGGGUGGGUUGACGGAAAGUGCCACAGAAAAUAUACCGCCACGGUUCGCCGGGGUAAGGGUGAAAAGGUGGGGCAAGAGCCCACCGCGCCAAGCGCAAGCAAGGCGGCACGGCAAACCCCAUCGGGUGCAAGGCCAAAUAGAGGGCACGGGCGGUCCGCCCCCGAAUCGGAAACGGUUCAAGCCCCGGGUAAGGCCGCAACAGAUAAAUGAUCCUCUCCGCAGGGCAACCCGCGCAGACAAAAUUCGGCUUACAGCCCUUCCAAGGUU